UGUAUUUUUUUGUUUGUUUGUUUAAAUAAAUAAAAAAAAAUUUAAAAGCUAGUGCUUAGUAGAGGUUGGAAGGAAGCAUAAUGAGGUGGGUCACAUUUCACAUAGGAGAGAUGCUGCAGAGCAAAGAGCAGCGUGUAUUUAUAGCAUGGACCUAAAAACAGGAUGAUGGCUGCUGAUGGGGAGGGAAACAGGAAAAAGAAAAGUCAUAAGAAGUGUGGGCUCAAGUUGUCAAGAACGCCGGGUCAACAGGCAGUUCCGCUAAGUCUCUUAGGAUCCAUCUCCCAUGAUUCAAGAAGUGUAACCUGCCCGCUGAGAAUCUCCCCUGGACAGGAAUUUGCCAGCCAUGGGAUGGGGCCAUCUUGGAAGUGGAUCCUUCAGCCUUAGUCCAGCUGACAUCUAGUGGAGCAGAGAUGAAUUGUCCCCACCGGGCUCUGGCCAAAUGAUAGAUUGGUGAGUAAAAUAAUGAAUUGUUUUAAAGUAGUUAGUUUUGAAGUGAUUUGUUAUAUAGAAAUAUAGAUAACUGAACUAUUUCCCUUGAAUAGGAGCUGGCUGGCCAAUAAAAUGUUGAAGAGGUGAUGUUUAGCUUAUACC
rnacentral:lncRNA from 1 species